GACGAACGCUGGCGGCGUGCUUAACACAUGCAAGUCGAACGGAAAGGCCCUGCUUGCAGGGUCCUCGAGUGGCGAACGGGUGAGUAACACGUGGGUGAUCUGCCCUGCACUUCGGGAUAAGCUUGGGAAACUGGGUCUAAUACCGGAUAGGAGCCAUCUUUAGUGUGGUGGUUGGAAAGUUUUUUCGGUGUAGGAUGAGCUCGCGGCCUAUCAGCUUGUUGGUGGGGUAAUGGCCUACCAAGGCGGCGACGGGUAGCCGGCCUGAGAGGGUGUACGGCCACAUUGGGACUGAGAUACGGCCCAGACUCCUACGGGAGGCAGCAGUGGGGAAUAUUGCACAAUGGGCGCAAGCCUGAUGCAGCGACGCCGCGUGGGGGAUGAAGGCCUUCGGGUUGUAAACUCCUUUCGCUAGGGACGAAGCUUUGUUGUGACGGUACCUAGAUAAGAAGCACCGGCUAACUACGUG
rnacentral:rRNA from 1 species